GCGGGUGUAGCUCAAUGGUAGAGCCCCAGCCUUCCAAGCUGGUUACGGGGGUUCGAUUCCCCUCACCCGCUCCA
rnacentral:tRNA from 1 species